GACCACCUCCCAGAAAAGAAUGGCUCUCCUCAGAUAAUUGUAUAUUGAAUACUCCAUGAUAUGAAUGUUAAAUGAAGAGUAGACUCAUUUUAUCAAGGGAAAAUACAGACCCCACAUUGCCCAGCAUAUCCAGAUAGAUCGGAUGCUGCAGAGCCUUCACCUUCCUGAACCUCUCCCUCAAUGUCCCUCUUGAACUAAGGAGGCCAAAAAUUCACCUGAUAUUCCAGUCAUGGAAGAGAAGGAGGAAUCUCUGGCACAGGAUCCAGAGCAAGUCUGUGAAUUGCCCUUUACAGGAAUGUCUGGAGCCUCAGCACCAAAUGCCAAAGGGACAUAAGAUUCUACAAAGCAAGUGUUUGUGGAUCUUGCUUUAUAUACUGAAUGCUGAUGGGACUGUUACAGUCAUCUGGUCUUGUGUGGCAAACCCAGGUAGAUCACAUUGUCUUGAUUCCUAAAUCUCAGAAUUUAAAGCAUUGAGAUGCUCAAGAUGACAUCUGACUUUUAAGUGUCAGCAGCUCAAGUAUCUUCAUAGUUCUUUUCUAUGUAAUUUAUUAAUUUGUUUUUUAAAGGAGCUUCAAACUGAUGUGUGUUCACUGAGAUAAAUUAACCAAAAGAAGGGAGAAAAUAAUGGAAAAAAAAAAAAAAAAGAUUCCAGAAGUUUAAUUCCAGAGUGUGUUAAGUUCCAGGACCAGAAACAUAUUUUGGCCUAUUCUGGAAGAAGGAAGUUUUAAAAAUUCUCUGUGCCAAACUGGUUUUUAAUCCAAAAUCUUUUGCCUAUGUGGUUUUUCAAAACAACUUCUGAUGACUUUUAGUUUUUAAGUGGGAAAGAAUUCCCUGUUUCAGUUGUUCUUGCUCAAGGAGAGAAAAAUAAUUUGGUUUGCUCCAAAAUUAUAAGGAGAAAAACAUAAAGCGCAGUUUAAACUUGGAAAAUUUUGGAAAGUUUUAGAUCUUGGUGACACUAACCUAAAUAUUAUUAUAGAAAACUUUAUGAAUUCUUAAUGAUUUCGCAUCACUCUGACCUCAGUGGGAUGAACGCAUUCUCUGGAACUUAAAGAACAGGUUCAAGUAAUGUUUUGCCUGAUAUGCUUAGAAAAACAUAAUCAAAUAAAGGUGUGUCAGGCACAUCACUUUUAUGAGACUUCUCUUGGUAAGUCGCAUCAGUUACAUAACUCAAAAAAGAGGCCAGAUAAACUGGAAAUGGUUCAAAAAAGAAAGGCAGAAUUGGAAAGGAAACUUGUGAAAAGUUUCAAGUCUAUAUUCUUCUUUUUUCCUUCUAGUUUAUUAAACUCAAUUUAUGUAAUAUAAAAGAGAAGAUAAAAAGAUGAUAAAGUCACAGAUUAUCAGUGGCUCCAACUGAAAGAGAGAGUUUUAAUCUAGCAGAAGCACACAGCACAUCAAACAAAAUAAUCCAAUCACAUCAUCCAGUAAUGGGAAGCAAAAGAUAAGCAGAAAUAGGGACAGAAUUUAAAUGGAGAAGAUAAUUAAGUCAUAGAAUUGCUUGAGGUGGAGAGAACCUCUAAAGGCCAUCUGAUCCAACUCUCCUGCAGUAAACAGGGACAUCUGCAGCUCAAUCAGGUGCUCAGAGCUUGGUUCACACACCUCUAGCUCAUUGUACAGCUCAGUGUUUAAAAGCCAAAGCUAACCUGAAGGCUCUGUUUUCCUCUAUGGAGGAAAACAGAAAUAAAUGAAUACAGAUCCUCAAGAAGGUGAUGGCUUUAAUUAUCACUCAAAGCACACAUACAGGAAGCUCAUGUUGUUAAGUGCUGACAGGUUAUGGGUGAUACCACACAUCAUGAGCCUAAGGCUGACCCACUUGGACAAUUUGCUAUGUGGUUUUGCAGGUCUAACGCCUGAGGUAAGAUAGUAUGACAACUAUAUAAUUACAAAGUACCAGCAGUUAGAAAAAUCUUAAUAAAUGCUUGGUGAAAACCAGAUUGUGAGCAAAACCAAAAUAUGAGACCAGGUUUCUUAUAUCUAAGGUGAACCAUUACUCACUGUAGAUAAUGGGAUGCAGGAAUAUGAAGGCUCAUGGGACUGGAACCCCAACAGAUCAGUAUUUUAUCUGUUGCCCUCUGGCUUCCAAGGGCAUAAGUAUUGAAGCUACUAGAGUUAGGAGUUAGGUUUGCCAGAGAUGAUUGUGACUGCUGGGAGAGACAGAUCUUAGAGAAAAAACUGAGAGGGUUUUGUUCAGGAUGGCAUAGCAGGACAUUCAAAAAGCAUGGAGUUAGGAAUGCUCCCUCUGACUUUAAGUUCUAUAAAUUUAUGAAGAAACUGUAAAGACUUUUUCUGUUAUUUACCGUACUUCAUGGAAACAAAAAAGAAGCAAGGGUAGAAGAAAUAUGUCCAGGAUGGAAAUUAAAUCAUGACAUUAAUGAUAAUGAAAUACUAAUUAUACCCAGAGCAGCAUUUUAAUAAUGAUAAUUCAGAUUAUGUUAAUGUACUGCUCUCUUUAAACAUGCUAACUACCUGUUCAAAUUGCAGUAGGUCAAUGCAACGUGUGACUGGAUCUCAUUAAUUUUUCUUACAUGCUGGAAUUUUUCACUGUCUUGGCUGAAGCCCAUUUUCCUUUUGCAAUCAGCAGUUUACAUUUUAAAUUCAUUCAUUAGGCAAUAAAAAUCUUUAAUUAAAAAAAGUAAUUUAUUCUUCAUGGCUUCAGGUCAUAUAAACUGGCAAAAAGGAUUACUUUCUCCUGUUUAUUAAAGUCUGAGUGAUGCUUUAUCUCUCAAGAAUGCUGAAGACAAUAUAUGAUUGUUAUCAGUUUUGUUUACUGGGCUCACUCAGAUCACUUGUGGCUGUGUGGUGACGUUGGUGUCUUUUAUUACUUAAAUACUGAUUAAAAGUCCCGCUUGCUGACUGCAUGCACUGAAAUUAUAGAUAUUGGUUUGUUUAACACUUUCUUGACUCUGUUAAGAGAAGGUCAGGGUAAGAACUUCUUUUGGGGUGUUAGAUGUUUCAAGACGCUCCUUGAAAGAAACUGAGAUAAAGGGGACAGCAGCAAAAGGCUCUUUGGGUACACAAGUCUGUCUGUUGCCUGAUCUAAAGGAAGAAAGAACGGCUGUGAAAGAUUGCCUGUAAGUGUACUAAAAUUAGCUGUAUUUUUAUGCAGCAUGGUUUCAUCUUACUUCUUUCAUGUGCAGGGUUAAUACUCUCAGUGCCAAGUGAAUAAAACACUAGUUCUACAUAGUGGGGUGGGAAGGAGUUGUGAAGGGAAAGGAGAAAAUAUGUCUGGCUUGAGGCCAUAUUGUCCCACUGGGUUCAAUCCAAAGCUCAUUCAGUGAAAGAUGUUCUGUUAGUCUGUCAGGAUAUUUCACUGAGCCCUGUAUCAUGCUUGGAUACCGAGUUUUGUGAAAUACAGCAUAGAUAUUUUGUGAGUUUUUCUGAAUUUGUCUUAAUUUUUA